GUCUAUGGCCAUGCCACCCUGAACAAGCCCAAUGUCUGAUCUCGGAAGCUAAGCAGGGUCAGACCUGGUUAGUACUUGGAUGGGAGACCACCUAGGAAGACCAGGUGCUGUAGGCA
rnacentral:rRNA from 1 species